GCGCUUGCUUUGGCAGCACAUAUACUAAAAUUGGAAGGAUACAGAGCAGAUUAGCAUGGCCCCUGUGCCAGGAUGACAUGCAAAUUUGUAAAGCUCUUAAAAAAAAUUU
ensembl:snRNA U6 U6 spliceosomal RNA